GAUGAACGCUGGCGGCGUGCCUAAUACAUGCAAGUCGAGCGAACAGAUGAGGAGCUUGCUCCUCUGACGUUAGCGGCGGACGGGUGAGUAACACGUGGAUAACCUACCUAUAAGACUGGGAUAACUUCGGGAAACCGGAGCUAAUACCGGAUAAUAUAUUGAACCGCAUGGUUCAAUAGUGAAAGACGGUUUUGCUGUCACUUAUAGAUGGAUCCGCGCCGCAUUAGCUAGUUGGUAAGGUAACGGCUUACCAAGGCAACGAUGCGUAGCCGACCUGAGAGGGUGAACGGCCACACUGGGACUGAGCCACGGUCCAGACUCCUACGGGAGGCAGCAGUAGGGAAUCGUCCGCAAUGGGCGAAAGCCUGACGGAGCAACGCCGCGUGAGUGAUGAAGGUCUUCGGAUCGUAAAACUCUGUUAUUAGGGAAGAACAAAUGUGUAAGUAACUAUGCACGUCUUGACGGUACCUAAUCAGAAAGCCACGGCUAACUACGUG
rnacentral:rRNA from 1 species